AGUGAACGCUGGCGGUAGGCCUAACACAUGCAAGUCGAACGGCAGCACAGUAAGAGCUUGCUCUUACGGGUGGCGAGUGGCGGACGGGUGAGGAAUACAUCGGAAUCUACUUUUUCGUGGGGGAUAACGUAGGGAAACUUACGCUAAUACCGCAUACGACCUACGGGUGAAAGCAGGGGAUCUUCGGACCUUGCGCGACUGAAUGAGCCGAUGCCGGAUUAGCUAGUUGGCGGGGUAAAGGCCCACCAAGGCGACGAUCCGUAGCUGGUCUGAGAGGAUGAUCAGCCACACUGGAACUGAGACACGGUCCAGACUCCUACGGGAGGCAGCAGUGGGGAAUAUUGGACAAUGGGCGCAAGCCUGAUCCAGCCAUACCGCGUGGGUGAAGAAGGCCUUCGGGUUGUAAAGCCCUUUUGUUGGGAAAGAAAAGCAGCAGGUUAAUACCCCGCUGUUCUGACGGUACCCAAAGAAUAAGCACCGGCUAACUUCGUG
rnacentral:rRNA from 1 species